rfam:Clostridium tetanomorphum DSM 665 contig46, whole genome shotgun sequence.
AAAUAAACAAAUAUUCGCACUCAUAUAAGCCUAAUGAUAGGGAUUAGGCGUUUCUACCAGACAACCGUAAAUUGUCAGGCUAUGGGUUUUUAGGUAGAUUUA